rnacentral:rRNA from 1 species
GACGAACGCUGGCGGCGUGCCUAACACAUGCAAGUCGAACGAAGUGGCGAAAGGGUGAGUAACGCGUAAUCAACCUGCCAUUCAGAGGGGGACAACAGUUGGAAACGACUGCUAAUACCGCAUACUGAAGGAGGGGUUUGCGUCGGAUUAGCUAGUGGGAGGGGUAACGGCCCACCAAGGCGAUGAUCAGUAGCCGGGCUGGGAGGAUGAACGGCCAAAUUGGGAAUGAGACACGGCCCAGACUCCUACGGGGGGCAGCAGUGGGGAAUCUUCCGGAAUGGGCGAAAGUCCGGCGGAGCAACGCCGCGUGAGUGAUAACGGCCUUCGGGUUGUGAAGCUCUGUUAGUCGGGGCACGGUACCGGAAUAGAAAGCCACGGCUAACUACGUGCCAGCAGCCGCGGUAAUAC